UUGGGCAUUUUCACAAAAAUGUAUACCCCCCUGAUUUUCAACUGUCCCUCGAAUUCAUUAAAUUCUAUAUAAUGAAGUAGUUGCCAGAUUUAUUUAUAUAUGUUAUCAAAGUGAUUAUACGUAUACAAUAUUUUGUUUUUUUAACAAAAACUAUGACAAAAUCUAAAAUAAAGUUAAGUUAAUCAUAAAUAACAAUUGAAAAAAGGGUAAUUUUACGCUGUCCCCUGCUUACUCUUACGCGUUUAUUAAAUUAUUUCUUAACUUUUUUGUAAGAAAGGUACCAUCUUUUAAGGUUUUAUUUGGUCCAGGAUAAUCAGUUACUGUGAUAAUAGUUAAAAUAUAAUAACCUUAUAUAACAAAAUAAAAGAUAAAAAAAUAAAAAAUAAAAUCAAAAAAAUUGUCCUUCCCGGAACAUUCAGUUGUGUCACCGAUUUUCUAAAAAGAAAAUUACUGUGGUUCAAAUAUUUUUGCAUUACUGUCAACACCAUAGCUACUGCUAUGCAACUUAUCAGGUUAGAAGCCCUCAGGGUCAAAAAACUGCUUAGAAGGAGUGCACGCGUGUUUGCAAGCCGCAGGGACCAAAUUCUUCAUUCAGAUUAACCUUCGUGUUUGCAGCGUCCACUGAAACAAGAUUUUUUUAUCCAAUAUGGUGAUUGAGAUUAUUUAAGGUUAAUAUUAUAAACGAAUCACGAAGACUGAUUAUCGACUGAUUAAUUUGAUUAGUGCCAAUAUAAAACAUAAAAGAGACUUCUUAUUCUUGAAUCUUGAUAGUAAUUUACCCUUUAGAUAAAUAAUAAUAAUGUGAUGGCUUAAGCCCGAACUGAUUGUGAUAAUUUAGUUUGAAGUUAAGUUAAGUUUAUAAUUAUAUUUAUUAUGUGUG